GUGAAAACUUAUGGGGGGGGGGGGGCACAAACUGGUAGCUGUCCGAUGGCUGUUAAUCCUUCUCUGAUUUAUAUCCAGAGGUAUCUGCUUCUGUGUGCGCACAAAGUACUUCUUUAAGUGCCAGUUCGAAACUGUCUUGUUUUUCUUAUUAUGCAGUGCGUGGAAUGUUCAACACUUAAUAGCUGAAUAGUUAAAGAGUCCCUC